rnacentral:rRNA from 1 species
AGUGAACGCUGGCGGCAGGCCUAACACAUGCAAGUCGAACGGAAGCACGGGAAGAGCGUGCUCUUACGGGUAGCGAGUGGCGGAUGGGUGAGGAGUACAUAGGAAACCACUUUUUCGUGGGUGACAACGGAGAGAAAUUGAUGCUAAUAGCGCAUACUUUCUACGGGAGAAAGCAGGGGUGCAUGGCGCCUUGCGCGUCUCAAUUAGACGAAGCCGGAUUGGCUAGUUGGGGGGGUAAGGGCCCACCAAGGCGACGAUACGUAGCUGAUCUGAGAGGAUGAUCAGCCACACUGGAACUGAGACACGGUCCAGACUCCUACGGGAGGCAGCAGUGGGGAAUCUUCGACAAUGGGCGCAAGCCUGAUCCAGCCACGCCGCGUGGGUGAAGAAGGCCUUCGGGUUGUAAAGCCCUUUUGUUAGGGAAGAACAGAAGUGUAUUUAUCCCCCGCUGUUCUGACGGUACCCAAACAAAAAGCCCCGGCUAACUUCGUG